AAACUGAAAAAGAAAAUCACAAAGGUAGCUGGACAGUACUGGACCCAUCACAAUUUCAAUACUGGGAAGAGAAAAGCCAGUCCUCUGGGGAAAGAUGAAGCACUGGACCUACAAACUAACUACUUUCAACCCCUGGAUGAAUCUAGGAGCAGAUUAGUCCCGAUAUCAAGGCAAUGUCAAGAGUGAAGGGGAGGAUCAAGAUUUUUUUUGAGUGAUUGUUUCCUGGAAGGAGAAAAAAAAAUAACAAGAAAAUGACCAUGGAAAGUAACAACAACUGAAAACGGAUAAAAUGAAGAUGUGUGAAAGAGCACAAGAGUGCAAAACCAAAAGUAUACAAGGAGUGUUUAUGCAGUAACCACUUUAGAAUGCCUUUCCUCAUGUUUGAAGACUUCUAAACUAGGGCAAGGACAGAUCCCAGCAACUACUGGAAGCAUAAUAAAGGAGAAGAAUGAGGCAUUUUCUUCUCUCAUAUACAGAUUAUAUGUAAUUAGGAUGCUAAGGAUAAUUUUGUAACAUAAAAACGGAGAUGCUAAGGAGAAUGGUUUCACCCUAGUUUAUAGAAGGAGGGUAUACUAUGGUCUAUCAAAGACUGAAAAUUGUCCUCUGCUAAUAAAGUCUCAAAUCAGGGCAAUUGGAUUUCUUUCUUUUUUUUUUUUUAUUAUACUUUAAGUUUUAGGGUACAUGUGCACAAUGUGAAGGUUUGUUACAUAUGUAUACAUGUUCCAUGUUGGUGUGCUGCACCCAUUAACUCAUCAUUUACAUUAGGUAUAUCUCCUAAUGCUAUCCCUCCCCACUCUCCCAGCCCCACAACAGGUCCUGGUGUGUGAUGUUCUCCUUCCUGUGUCCAUGUGUUCAAUUCCCACCUAUGAGUUGAGUUAGAGUUACUAGUCUCAAAUAAAUGCUUGGUAAUGCCAUACAAUCUAAACAUGUUGUCACUGUCAACUCACUAUCUCAUAUUCUGCAAUGAUACCCUUCUAUAUUCUGAAAUUCCUUCCCCAUUCUCAGCAGAUAGCCUCAGAUCAUAUAUCAUACACACAAUUGAACAUAUCACAUAGAAAUUUCAUCAGCUCACUGCCUCCAAUCCAAUGAACCUAACAUCUACUAACAUCAACACCAUCCAGGAAACCAUGACCUCACCAGAUGAACUAAAUAAGGCACCAGGGAAAAAUACCAGUGAAACAGAGACAUGUGACCUUUCAGACAGAUAAUUCAAAAUAGCUGUGUUGAGGAAACUCAAAUUCAAGAUGAUACAGAGAAGGAAUUCAGAAUUAGAUAAAUUUAACAAAGAGAUUGAAAUAAUUAAGAAUCAAGCAGAAAUUCUGGAGCUGAAAAACGCAACUGGCGUAUUGAGAAAUGCACCAGAGUCUCUUAAUAGCAGAACUGAUCAAGCAGAAGAAUGAAUUAGUGAUGUUGAAGACAGACUAUUGGAAAUGCACAGUCAGAAGAGAAAAAAGAAAAAACAAUGAAGCACGCCUACAGGAUCUAAAAAAUAGCCCCCAAAGGGCAAAUCUAAGAGUUACUGGCCUUAAAGAGGGGGGGCUCAACACCCAAGUACAAAAAGGUUAGAGAACACCAAGUAGAUUUAAUCUAAAGAAGACUACCUUGAAUCGUUUAACAAUUAAACUCCCAAAGGUCAAGGAUAAAGAAAGGAUACUAAAAGAACCAAGAGAAAAGAAACAAGUAACAUACACUAGAGCUCCAGUACACCUGGUAGCAGACUUUUCAGUGGAAACCUUACACACCAGGAGAGUGACAUGGCAUAUUUAAAGUGCUAAAGGGUGGAAAAAAAGCCUUUUACCCUGGA
rnacentral:lncRNA from 10 species